rnacentral:rRNA from 1 species
CAGUAGCCGCGGUAAUACGAAGGGUGCAAGCGUUACUCGGAAUUACUGGGCGUAAAGCGUGCGUAGGUGGUGGUUUAAGUCCGUUGUGAAAGCCCUGGGCUCAACCUGGGAAUUGCAGUGGAUACUGGGUCACUAGAGUGUGGUAGAGGAUAGUGGAAUUUCCGGUGUAGCAGUGAAAUGCGUAGAGUUCGGAAGGAACAUCUGUGGCGAAGGCGACUAUCUGGGCCAACACUGACACUGAGGCACGAAAGCGUGGGGAGCAAACAGGAUUAGAUACCCCAGUAGUCCCUGUCUCUUAUAC